rnacentral:rRNA from 1 species
CCUACGGGGGGCAGCAGUGAGGAAUAUUGGUCAAUGGGCGCGAGCCUGAACCAGCCAAGUAGCGUGAAGGAUGACUGCCCUACGGGUUGUAAACUUCUUUUAUAAAGGAAUAAAGUGAGGCACGUGUGCCCUUUUGUAUGUACCAUAUGAAUAAGCAUCGGCUAACUCCGUGCCAGCAGCCGCGGUAAUACGGAGGAUGCGAGCGUUAUCCGGAUUUAUUGGGUUUAAAGGGUGCGUAGGUGGUUAGUUAAGUCAGCUGUGAAAGUUUGUGGCUCAACCAUAAAAUUGCCGUGGAAACUGGUAGACUUGAGUAUAGUAGAGGUAGGCGGAAUGCGUGGUGUAGCGGUGAAAUGCAUAGAUAUCACGAAGAACUCCGAGUGCGAAGGCAGCUUACUGGACUAUAACUGACACUGAGGCACGAAAGCGUGGGGAUCAAACAGGAUUAGAUACCCGAGUAGUC